GAAUAGCAUAAGCAGACAUGGCAGGGCAAGACUCAGGUAUAAGAUUAGCAUAGACAAAAGUACAAUAGAAGUUCCUUUGCAUGUCUGGAGCCUGAGGCGAGUCAGGUGAUGAGAUUUGGCUUCCUUUGGCUAACAAUGAGCCCAGCAAUUGUCACCUCUGAGAACUUCCUGGAGUCCUUUUGCAAGGGGAAAAUAGCUUUGGAAUGGAGGAAACUGGGAAAGGAGAUGAUUUUAUAUUAUUUUAAAGCUAGGUAACUUCCCUGAGCUGUCAAGUUGAAAAGAUACAUUCAGGCAUAAUAUUUGUAAUAUUUAACAACUUUAAAGAUGUGCCCCCCCGUAAUUUCCGUAACAGCCCCCAUUUUCCGAGUAAGAGCUACGCCUGCAUGUCCAAAUGAUCUUUUCUCUUGCAGACAGGCAAGCUCCUAGCUGCUCACCCGGAGGGCAUGUGGGCAGCCCCCUCAAGCCAGCACCAUGGAUCCAGGGCCUGUCAGGAGCUCGGCCUACACCCGAGUAGGACCCUGGCAGAGAAACAUGCCCGCCUGGUAUGUUCUCUCCCUCCUGAUCGAUCGUUCGGGAGCUUCAAAAGCUUUCUUCAGCCCGGACCGAUGCCAACCGACACC